CAACCUGCCCAUCACUUGGGGAUAACCUUGCGAAAGUAAGACUAAUACCCAAUGAUAUCUCUAGAAGACAUCUGAAGGAGAUUAAAGAUUUAUCGGUGAUGGAUGGGGAUGCGUCUGAUUAGCUUGUUGGCGGGGUAACGGCCCACCAAGGCAACGAUCAGUAGGGGUUCUGAGAGGAAGGUCCCCCACAUUGGAACUGAGACACGGUCCAAACUCCUACGGGAGGCAGCAGUGAGGAAUAUUGGUCAAUGGACGAGAGUCUGAACCAGCCAAGUAGCGUGCAGGAUGACGGCCCUAUGGGUUGUAAACUGCUUUUAUAAGGGAAUAAAGUGGGAGUCGUGACUCUUUUUGCAUGUACCUUAUGAAUAAGGACCGGCUAAUUCCGUGCCAGCAGCCGCGGUAAUACGGAAGGUCCGGGCGUUAUCCGGAUUUAUUGGGUUUAAAGGGAGCGUAGGCCGGAGAUUAAGCGUGUUGUGAAAUGUAGAUGCUCAACAUCUGCACUGCAGCGCGAACUGGUUUCCUUGAGUACGCACAAAGUGGGCGGAAUUCGUGGUGUAGCGGUGAAAUGCUUAGAUAUCACGAAGAACUCCGAUUG
rnacentral:rRNA from 1 species